rnacentral:lncRNA from 1 species
GAUGGAGAGACAAGAGAGAAAAGAAAAGAAAAAAGAGAAGAAGAAAGUCUUCUUCUUCUUCUUAGUUUUGCCAUAGACAACACAUUGGAUCAAGUUGUUAUUGUUGGGAGAAGUUUUGGAGGUACGUUUUAAUUAUUGGUUUCUAUUAACUUGUUGUGGAGAAGCAUGAUUGCAAUAGAAGUAGAAAUCAAAGAUUUUACAUAAAUAUGCUGACAGUGAAUCAUUACGAAAAUCAUAGUAAUUUGUACAAAUUGAUUUUGAUUCUGUUUUUUGGGUAUGUUAAACUAGACAUUGUCUAAUAUGUUUUGAAACUUGUUUCAAGUUAAUCGGAUAAGAUUUCGAUUAAUUAUGAUUUUUCAAAUUCAAGUCUGAAAACCUGGAAAUUUAUGAUUUCAGUGAAUUACGAAAUUAUUUCUACCAUAUCUAGACUCCUUCAAAAAUUAUGAAAUUUGGACCAAUGAUUUUUAUAUAUGUCUAGUAUGAUUCUGGAAAUUUUCAUGAUUUUAUGAUCAAGAAAUAAAUUGUUUUGUAUUUUUAAAGCAAGUGUGUUCAAAACAGAAAACUGUUUGACAGUAUUGAUGAUGUCUGAAACGUGAAUUAUUUUCAAUCUUUUUGGAAGGAAUUAUGUUAUGAAAUUUUUAUCAAUGAACUUUCAAUGUGUCAGCAUAUGGUCUGUAAAAUUUGAGAUUCUUCCAAUAAGAGAAUAAUUUAUUAAAAAUCGGAGAAAUAUGGACUGUUAUGUUUUGAGGGCCGAUUAUUGAGGACAUUUGAGGUUGAGCUUAAGAGUUAUUUAAAUUGAGAUAUUUGAGGACAUUAGAGUUUAUGAUUGAGAUUUGAUUAUAUCUUAUGAGAAUUUAUUGAUGAUUUUAGGUUGAUGGUAUCAGUACGCAUUUGUUACAUGAGGAUGCCAAGAGGUAAGUAAACUAGACUUUAAAACGAAUCACAAUAAAUAAUAUAUAUGUUUGACUUGUAUGAAAAGCCUAUUUUGAUAUGUACGAAUAUGGAUUUAUAUGUCUCUGCUCAUGUGUUUAUGUGAUGUGUUGUUAUGUAAUGGGCGUGAUUAUGUACAUGGGCAUAUAUAUGUGUGAUGGUUCAUUGGCAUGAGCACGAAAAUGCAUUGAGUUUUCUAUGAAUGAGAAAGUGGAUUUUAGCAAAUUGAAUUUAUGUUUUAUGAGAUUUUGCAUUGGGGGCCACCUCUUGAAGUUGUGUGGGGGCCACCUCUUGAGACUAUGCAGGGGCCACCUCUUGAGGGCUAGAGUCCCGCAAAGUGCCACGCAUGGUGCAAAGUGCCACGCACAACACAAAGUGCCACAUUGUAGGAUACGUAUUUCAUCGAAAGAAAAUGAGAAAGUUUGAAAGCGACAGAAAGAGAUUUUUAUGAAUUAAUUUUACAGUAUUUCUAAAAGAUCAUGGCAUAUCAUCCAUUGCAUUAUGUAUAAGUAUGUAUGUAUUUUCUAUAAGAAAAACUAGUUUGCUUACUGAGUUUUGUACUCAUUAUAGUUUAUUGUGAUUCAGUUUCCAGAAGUCAGGAUUGAUUCGUGAUGAGUGACAAGUUGAAGAUGGUAGAUGGUUUCGCUAAAUUUUUUAGUUAUUCCGCUGGCUUUUGUAUUUGAUGCUCGAAUUUUAUUGUUUGUAAAGAGUUAUUUAAAUCAUAUGUGAGUUGUGGACAUAUUUGCCCUUGGAUUUCGGACUGGGGUGUUAUAUUUCGAGGGGCCUCCGUGUGCCAAAAAUAGGCCGCGGGAAAUGCCGCGCCAAAAAUAUCCGCCCGAAGGCCCGCGCCAAGUUCGUCCAGCGGAAAAAGGCCACAAAAACGGGUGGGCUAUAGCCUUGGGGGGUGGGGCUGGCCAACUUCGUCCGCCGGAAUCGGAAUGCCGCGAGACUUUGCUAGGGGCUUCCAUUUGCCAAAAAUAGGCCGCAGACAAAGCCGCGCCCAAAAAUAACCGCCCGAAGGCCGGGGCGCGAAGCUCGUCCAGCGGAAAAAGGCCACAAAAACGGGUGGGCUAUAGCCUUGGGGGUGGGGCUGGCCAACUUCGUCCGCCGGACUCGGAAUGCCGCGAGACUUUGCGAGGGGCCUCCGUGUGCCAAAAAUAGGCCGCGGGCAAAGCCGCGCCCAAAAAUAACCACCCGAAGGCCGGGGCGCCAAGUUCGUCCACCGGAAAAAGGCCACAAAAACGGGUGGGCUAUAGCCUUGGGGGGUGGGGCUGGCCAACUUCGUCCGCCGGACUCGGAAUGCCGCGAGACUUUACGAGGGGCCUCCGUGUGCCAAAAAUAGGCCGCGGGCAAAGCUGCGCCCAAAAAUAACUGCCCGUAGGCUGGGGCGCCAAGUUCGUCCAGCGGAAAAAGGCCACAAAAACGGGUGGGCUAUAGCCUUGGGGGGUGGGGCUGGCCAACUUCGUCCGCUGGACUCGGAAUGCCGCGAGACUUUGCCAGGGGCCUCUGUGUGCCAAAAAUAGGCCGCGGACAAAGCCACGCCCAAAAAUAACCGGCCGAAGGCCGGGGCGCCAAGUUCGUCCAGCGGAAAAAGGUCACAAAAACGGGUGGGCUAUAACCUUGGGGGGUUGGGCUGGCCAACUUCGUCCGCCGAACUCGGAAUGCCGCGAGACUUUGCGAGGGGCCUCCGUGUACCAAAAAUAGGCCGCGGACAAAGCCGCGCCAAAAAUAACCGCCCGAAGGCCGGGGCGCCAAGUUCGUCCAUCGGAAAAAGGCCACAAAAACGGGUGGGCUAGCCUUGGGGGGUGGGGCUGGCCAACUUCGUCCGCCGGACUCGGAAUGCGGCAAGACUUCUUGAGGGGCCUCCAUGUGCCAAAAAUAGGCCACGCCCAAAAAUAACCGUCCGAAGGCCGGGGCGCCAAGUUCGUCCAGCGGAAAAAGGCCACAAAAACGGGUGGGCUAUAGCCAUGGGGGGUGGGGCUGGCCAACUUCGUCCGCCGGACUUGGAAAGCCGCGAGACUUUGCGAGGGGCCUCCGUGUGCCAAAAAUAGGCCGCGGGCAAAGCUGCGCCCAAAAAUAACCCCCGAUGGGCAGGGCGCCAAGUUCGUCCAGCAGAAAAAGGCCACAAAAACGGGUGGGCUAUAGCCUUGGGGGGUGGGGCUGGCCAACUUCGUCCGCCGGACUCGGAAUGCCGUGAGACUUUGCGAGGGGCCUCUGUGUGCAAAAAAUAAGCCGCGGACAAAGCCGCGCCCAAAAAUAACCGCCCGAAGGCCGGGGCGCCAAGUUCGUCCAGCGGAAAAAGGCCACAAAAACGGGUGGGCUACAGCCUUGGGGGGUGGGGCUGGCCAACUUCGUCCGCCGGACUCGGAAAGCGGCAAGACUUUGCGAGGGGCCUCCGUGUGCCAAAAAUAGGCCGCGCCCAAAAAUAACCGCCCGAAGGCCGGGGCGCCAAGUUCGUCCAGCGGAAAAAGGUCACAAAAACGGGUGGGCUAUAGCCUUGGGGGGUGGGGCUGGCCAACUUCGUCCGCCGGACUCGGAAUACUGCGAGACCUUGCGAGGGGCCUCCGCGGGCAAAGCCGCGCCCAAAAAUAACCGCCCGAAGGCCGGGGCGCCAAGUUCGUCCAGCGGAAAAAGGCCACAAAAACGGGUGGGCUAUAGCCUUGGGGGGUGGGGCUGGCCAACUUCGUCCGCCGGGCUCGGAAUGCCGCGAGACUUUUCGUGUAAUACCCCAAAUCUCCUAAGGGUAUUUAAGUCUUUUUAAUUUUUAGUGAUCCUUUUUACCCUAAUAUAAAUAGAACAAGAUGUAUUUUUCAUUAUAAGAGAGAGAAAAAGAGGGAUCGGUUGAAAAAGAGAGAUGGAGAGACAAGAGAGAAAAGAAAAGAAAAAAGAGAAGAAGAAAGUCUUCUUCUUCUUCUUAGUUUUGCCAUAGACAACACAUUGGAUCAAGUUGUUAUUGUUGGGAGAAGUUUUGGAGGUACGUUUUAAUUAUUGGUUUCUAUUAACUUGUUGUGGAGAAGCAUGAUUGCAAUAGAAGUAGAAAUCAAAGAUUUUACAUAAAUAUGCUGACAGUGAAUCAUUACGAAAAUCAUAGUAAUUUGUACAAAUUGAUUUUGAUUCUGUUUUUUGGGUAUGUUAAACUAGACAUUGUCUAAUAUGUUUUGAAACUUGUUUCAAGUUAAUCGGAUAAGAUUUCGAUUAAUUAUGAUUUUUCAAAUUCAAGUCUGAAAACCUGGAAAUUUAUGAUUUCAGUGAAUUACGAAAUUAUUUCUACCAUAUCUAGACUCCUUCAAAAAUUAUGAAAUUUGGACCAAUGAUUUUUAUAUAUGUCUAGUAUGAUUCUGGAAAUUUUCAUGAUUUUAUGAUCAAGAAAUAAAUUGUUUUGUAUUUUUA